AAUAGGAGAAUGAUAAAUCAGAUUUUUCUUCUUCCUUUUCAGUUUUUUUCUCCUGAAAAAAAUCAAAUCUAACUAAAAAUGGUAGAAAUUAGAAGGAAAAAUCUGAUUUAUCAUUCUCCAAUU
rfam:Gossypium raimondii Chr09_contig_549, whole genome shotgun sequence.